GCAGCAGCAGCCUCCGCCACCCCCUCCGCCCAGCAGCAGUAUGGCUUCCAGUACCCCCUUGCCAUGGCAGCAAAAUACGACGACUACCACCACGAGCGCUGGCACAGGGUCCAUCCCGCCAUGGCAACAGCAGCAGGCGGCUGCCGCAGCUUCUCCAGGAGCCCCUCAGAUGCAAGGCAACCCCACUAUGGUGCCCCUGCCCCCCGGGGUCCAGCCGCCUCUGCCGCCUGGGGCCCCUCCCCCUCCGCCGCCUCCACCGCCUGGUUCCGCCGGCAUGAUGUAUGCCCCGCCCCCUCCUCCUCCGCCUCCCAUGGACCCUUCUAACUUUGUCACCAUGAUGGGCAUGGGGGUGGCGGGCAUGCCGCCCUUCGGGAUGCCUCCAGCUCCCCCACCGCCUCCACCACAGAACUAGACUUGUUUUUUAAGAAAAUAUAUAU
rnacentral:lncRNA from 1 species